rnacentral:rRNA from 1 species
UACGUAGGGUGCGAGCGUUGUCCGGAAUUAUUGGGCGUAAAGAGCUCGUAGGCGGCCAUGCAGGUCCGUUGUGAAAACUCGAGGCUCAACCUCGAGACGUCGAUGGAAACCGCACGGCUAGAGUCCGGAAGAGGAGAGUGGAAUUCCUGGUGUAGCGGUGAAAUGCGCAGAUAUCGGGAGGAACACCAAUUGCGAAGGCAGCUUGCUGGGACGUAACUGACGCUGAGACGCGAAAGCGUGGGGAGCAAACAGG